CAGAACCGUCUUCCUUUUCUCUAAUGACCAUUUCAAAUCCUUCUAACAUACUUUUUUUGUCAAGUGGAAUAGAUGACUGGCUUUACAAAACAUUUCAUUUGGCCAUUGGGUAUGUGAAUAAACCGGAUAAAAUAAGGCAGCAGUGGCAAUGACUCAGGACCAAGUCAUCCCUUUACAAGAAUUACCUACAAAGGAAACUGGAAACUCCAUGGCAUCUCUCUGUCAUCUUUCCCUCCAGCUGGUGCCUCUGAACCUCUUCUGAAGGGGCUUGUGCAAAGCAGAGCAUGGCAACAAGAAAUUUUCACAGCUCCAAUCAGUGAACAUACUAUCAAUUAAUACCAGAGACAGAAAUACUAUCACUGAAACCAUGGAGGAAGCCCUGGAAUCUAGUCCCUGACCACUGAACUGCUGUGGUUUAAUUGUGUGAAACUGGGUGUCAAGAUUCAAGGUAUUGCUCAGAUUGUUCUGCAAUAAGUUCUUCAGAUUCAGCAGUGUCAGCAGGAGGGAGCCCAUGGAUGUUGAUCUGACCCCAUCUCUGCAGCCAGCUGUGCCAUCACAUGAAAAAAGGAUUCUUUCUUCUGGAUUGCUCACGGUUUUCCCAGCAGCCAGCCCUGUUGUACAGGUCAAAUCAGCAGUUGAUGCUACACAGAAAGACAAGCCAACAAGACCUUGCUCAGGUGAAACAAACCUGAAAGUAGUGGUAGCUAUGAUGAAUUUUAUUUGUACUGUCCAUUUGCAUGACAUCAUUGCAGAGAACUUCAUGCAGCAGCUAGCAGAAAGCAUGUUCUAGAAGGAAUGCUACUGUUACCCCAGCACCAAAAGGGCAAUCGUGCCCUCAUUUCAGGAAGGCUGUGCUGUAAGGUCCACUCCUACCACUGCUUUUGCAUGAGAAAGCAGGAAAGCUUAUGUCCUGUUGUAAGGCCCUGGAAGGCUGCUCCUGCUAAUUAGUUUGGGGAAAUAGAAGGAGGCAUUUCAGAGAAACAUCACAUUCCUUGCACACAGUGCAGGUCAUCUUGCAGUUACAUUUGAGCUCCUAGGGUUGCAAAACAUCUCUAGUCUGGGAGACAGGGCUGCUGUCCCCAACAGAUUUUUUAAUUGUUUUUCUUUAUUUUAAAAUAAGUCCAGAGUGAGUGUUUUUCUUGACAAACUAUUGGCAGUUCUGUAACUUCGGACAUUAGGCGUGCUAGCACAAAUCCCGUACAUGUGUUUCUAAAUUAGAAUACAAAAUGACCAUAUCCUCUGAUCAUAAUUUAAAGAGCGAUUCAGGAUUCAGAAAUAAACCAAUCUUUCAGAGAGUUUCACUUAAUUUAGGAGCUUGUAAUGAACAGGAAUUUUUAAUCUCUCUGAAAUCUCCUUUCAAACUGAGCUAGCUAUAACCUAACCUUCUGACUAACUGGGUAUAGUUAAUAGUGCCAACAGCUGGAAAUUCAAGCGCACAGUGCUCUUCUGUCCUCACAAUAAACUUGAAAUCUCUCUAUUUUGGACCUCAGCCUGAAGUGUUCUGCAUGCUUUCUCUUCUGCUGACCUCGGCUGUCACAGUGGCACCCUGCACCACACAGGAAAGCAUCUUUGUUUUCCAUCAGCCUCCACUUUAGUAUAUCAGGGAGAUGAAGAAUAGAAUUUUUAAAACAUAUGCAUUGCUGCAUGUGUUCUGUCUGUAUUUCUACUAUGCCAUGUGUACAUAUCACCAUUUAGGAAAUGGGUAGAGACAUUGUCUGGAGCUAAGGGAAAGGGGAGGUUUAUGAAUUACAUCUUUUUCAAAAAGAGGCCAUGCAGAAUGCUGCUCAAAUUGCUCAUCGGGCAGCUUGAGAGAGCUGAGGUAUUUGGUAGCCCAGUGUUAUAUGGCAGAAACCUUCUUCCCACAUCCUGGACAAAGCUUAUACUUAGAAAAUUAUACAGUAAAAAUAAAUCUGCAGCUGACCAUUUAAUCCAUUUAAUAUUUUUUACUAUGUCUGUUCUUUUACCUGCUACCAUGGUGAACAGAGGCAAACUCACACACUGAAGUGGAGAGAGCGCACUAUGUUAAAUAGGACAGAAAAGAACUUCUACAUGCCAUCAGUCAUGUAUUUUCUCUCUGCUUGUUUGGGGUGAGGGGGGUUUCCAUCUUUUUUUUUUUUUUUUCUUUUCCUCCUGAGCUCAGAAGUCAGCAUGAGCAGCAACAGGCCUUCACAAAUGUGCUAAGGUGGAACCUUUUGGGACGGCUCCUCAAAGUGCUUUAUCUUUUGCUGACAAAUUGGUGCCAGAGCCAGAACUUAAUGAAGUCUUCAGAGAAAAUUUUGCAGCAAAUCAGGGAAUCUCAAAGGUAUGGGCCUACAGUAACACCAGUGCAACAAAUGAUUUAUCUACUUUUAUUUGUCUUUUGAAAGGCUGAAAGCUCAGCUUUGUGGCAAGCUGUAGUAUCACCUUCUUAGCUGCAUCCACAUUAUCCUUUUUCAGGUUUCCUGACAUUCAAAAAAAAGAGGCCAGGGCAAUAGCUUGCAGUAAUUUGCAGUUUAUCUCCCACUGAUAUCUUCAGUCUUGAAAGCUUCUUGAGCACCUCUGCUAUGGUCCUCAAGAAAAUUACCAGGACAAUAAAGCAGGCUAGGUCAAGAUGGUAUGCCAGUGAUUCUCUGUUUCCUUCUGCACUGUGGAGCUGGAUUCCUGUCAGCAAGUAGGUGCCACUCUUUUUCCAGGAGGACAGUAACAAAGUUUGCUCCCCUGUCUGUCGAAGAAACUCAGGAGACACCAUGCCUUCCCAAAGCUCAGCGUUUCCAGUGCUGAGCUGAUGUUUCUAACACCACAGAGGACUUCCAGUGCUUAGGUAAAAAAUAGCUGCGUCUUCUCAAAAGCGUCAAGCAUGUUUACGCACCUACAGCUGUUGUGAGAGGUGUUCACAAAACGGCUGUAGGCGUUUCUAAAACGGCUGUAGGAGCUCGCAACAGCCGCCCGCGCUGCCCUCCCGGCUGUCCCGCUGCGGCAGCCGGGCCCCAGCCCGGCGGCGAAGCCGGGCCGGCAGCGCCCUCUGCUGGGCGCGGGGGGCUGCGGCGCCGCGCUCCCCUCGGCGGUCCCCAGCUGCUCCUCCUGCUCCUCACGCCUCACGGUAUCGCAGGCCUGCCGGGAAAGCAUCCCGAGACAUACUGCCGAGGGAGAUCCGAGGUACCCCGCAAUUCGUAUGGGGCGUUUUGUUCCCGUCCCACCUUUGGGGUCUGUCGCGGGGCGCAGCCCUGUGGCGCUUCACUCAGCGGGGCUCCGCUGGUCCGUUCCUGGGUCAUUUCGAAAUAGCCAGUGGUAUCAGAACAACCAUCACUCUGUAAAUGUGUGACAGGUACGACGGGUGUCCUUACGCAGCCGAGUUUAUGACGAUUGGUUUCCAAAAUGAACCAAAAGAAAGAUGUCACUCAGCUAAGGCAUGGUUCCCCCUUACCUGUACAGAAAUGGUAGAAGCACAGGUAUGCUCAACCCCUGAACUUACAGCAGAGGUUGGAGAGAUUUGAAUUCUCAUUCUCUAGGUGAAGCACCCUAUAAUUACUUUGCCUUUUUGCUACCGAGUAGCAGAGUCUCCUGGCUCUCAAACAGAUCAUCAGAAGGAAGGUGGGACUUUCAGGAGGGAAAAUUUCCCAAUCAGAGGAUAAGUCUCCUGAAUUUUAGAACACCUCUAAUGACACCUACUUAACUUUCCCUAUCAGAUUUUACCCACAAGUGUACCAAACAUUUAACCCAGGAAGCAGAGCGGAGCCCAAAUCCUCUGUGAAGGCAGCCAGUCAGAGGUGUGCUCAUGCUUCAUAUGCAAACACAGUACCAAACCAGGUUAAAUGAAUUAAUUCUUUCCUCAAGGGUGUCUACUUAAUGGGAGAAUUUCUAGAAAGACCCCAGCCUGAGACCUGUGAUAUGCCUGCCCUAGCCUCAGAUUUAUUUGCUGAGGUGGGAGAGAGGUCAAAAGCACUGAGCCUUCCACUUCAGUAAAAGUUACGUGCCUGGUGACCUGCUGUAGGAAUAACUAUCGAUCUCCGCUUAUAACUCCUGUUAAGAGUCCUGUACGUAUCAACAGUCCUGGAACCCCAGAUUUAAAUACCAGGAUUGCCAAAGACAACCAAGCAAAUGUCUUUUAACUUGCUGUCUGCAAACUUUCCUUCUGGCAAAAUAUUUCUGUUGUGAUUACUUCCAAUGAUAUUGAAAAAUACUGAAAUUUUAUUAGUUUAUAGAUGUGCAAAAUAAUGUAAUCUUUCAAAAUAAUCUUUUAGUUUUUUUAGGUUAUUUUCCCUUCUCCUCCUGUGUAAUACUGAAACUUCAAGGGAAAUGGGAACCUCUCCAUUACUAUAUAAUUCUUGUCAAUAACAUAUAUCAUAGUCCAUUAAAAAGUCUAGCAGAAUACCCUAUUGAUUUCACUCAGCUACCCACCACACAGAAAUUUAAUGAAGUUGGUAGUGAGGCAGGACAAGCCCCAUGUUUUUUGCCACUGUACCAGACACCUUCAGUAUAGCAUUGUGUCAUCUCUAGCUCUAUCACAAGAUGAUCUAUUUCAAUAGCAUGUGAGGAGCAAUUGUUCUUACAGGCAAUAGCUAACCCUAAAACAGCAGCAUCCAAGAAAAGCAGAGCAGAUAUCACUAGCUACUGAUUCCAAUUAGGGGGAAAAAAAAAA